rnacentral:rRNA from 1 species
AUUGAACGCUGGCGGCAUGCCUUACACAUGCAAGUCGAACGGUAACGCGGGGGCAACCCUGGCGACGAGUGGCGAACGGGUGAGUAGCGCAUCGGAACGUGCCCAGUAGUGGGGGAUAGCCCGGCGAAAGCCGGAUUAAUACCGCAUACGACCUACGGGUGAAAGCGGGGGACCGCAAGGCCUCGCGCUAUUGGAGCGGCCGAUGCCCGAUUAGCUAGUUGGUGGGGUAAAGGCUCACAAAGGCGACGAUCGGUAGCUGGUCUGAGAGGACGACCAGCCACACUGGGACUGAGACACGGCCCAGACUCCUACGGGAGGCAGCAGUGGGGAAUUUUGGACAAUGGGGGAAACCCUGAUCCAGCCAUGCCGCGUGCGGGAAGAAGGCCUUCGGGUUGUAAACCGCUUUUGGCAGGAACGAAACGGCGCGCGCCAAUACCGCGCGCUAAUGACGGUACCUGCAGAAUAAGCACCGGCUAACUACGUGCCAGCCGCCGCAGUAAUAC